rnacentral:rRNA from 1 species
AUUGAACGCUGGCGGCAGGCCUAACACAUGCAAGUCGAGCGGAUGAAGGGAGCUUGCUCCUGGAUUCAGCGGCGGACGGGUGAGUAAUGCCUAGGAAUCUGCCUGGUAGUGGGGGAUAACGUCCGGAAACGGGCGCUAAUACCGCAUACGUCCUGAGGGAGAAAGUGGGGGAUCUUCGGACCUCACGCUAUCAGAUGAGCCUAGGUCGGAUUAGCUAGUUGGUGGGGUAAACGCCUACCAAGGCGACGAUCCGUAACUGGUCUGAGAGGAUGAUCAGUCACACUGGAACUGAGACACGGUCCAGACUCCUACGGGAGGCAGCAGUGGGGAAUAUUGGACAAUGGGCGAAAGCCUGAUCCAGCCAUGCCGCGUGUGUGAAGAAGGUCUUCGGAUUGUAAAGCACUUUAAGUUGGGAGGAAGGGCAGUAAGUUAAUACCUUGCUGUUUUGACGUUACCAACAGAAUAAGCACCGGCUAACUUCGUG